rnacentral:rRNA from 1 species
AUGGAAGGCCUCCUACACUGGGAUUUCAACCCUGGCCUAGCGGUGGCCGAUCAGGUACGUCGUCGGUUUGGAGAAACGGUCCAUUUCUCUCCAUCAAGUCCUACCAAGGAUUUUUUCUUGGUGGUUUCAUUCUCUUUGGCAUCCUUCCCUCUCUCUGAGGAAUCUGUGGGUGUGGCUCUCCAAUGAUGCAUUGGU